CCUACGGGAGGCAGCAGUGGGGAAUCUUGGACAAUGGGGGCAACCCUGAUCCAGCCAUGCCGCGUGUGUGAAGAAGGCCUUCGGGUUGUAAAGCACUUUCAGUAGGGAGGAAGGCUUAUCCUUAAUACGGAUGAGUACUUGACGUUACCUACAGAAGAAGCACCGGCUAAUUUCGUGCCAGCAGCCGCGGUAAU
rnacentral:rRNA from 1 species